AUUGAACGCUGGCGGCAUGCCUUACACAUGCAAGUCGAACGGUAACGCGGGGCAACCUGGCGACGAGUGGCGAACGGGUGAGUAAUGCAUCGGAACGUGCCCAGUAGUGGGGGAUAGCCCGGCGAAAGCCGGAUUAAUACCGCAUACGACCUAAGGGUGAAAGGGGGGGAUCGCAAGACCUCUCGCUAUUGGAGCGGCCGAUGUCAGAUUAGGUAGUUGGUGGGGUAAAGGCCUACCAAGCCGACGAUCUGUAGCUGGUCUGAGAGGACGACCAGCCACACUGGGACUGAGACACGGCCCAGACUCCUACGGGAGGCAGCAGUGGGGAAUUUUGGACAAUGGACGCAAGUCUGAUCCAGCCAUGCCGCGUGCGGGAAGAAGGCCUUCGGGUUGUAAACCGCUUUUGUCAGGGAAGAAAUCUUCUGGGUUAAUACCUCGGGAGGAUGACGGUACCUGAAGAAUAAGCACCGGCUAACUACGUGCCAGCAGCCGCCGCGG
rnacentral:rRNA from 1 species